CAUCGGUGACAGGUGGUGCAUGGUUGUCGUCAGCUCGUGUCGUGAGAUGUUGGGUUAAGUCCCGCAACGAGCGCAACCCCUAUUGUUAGUUGCCAUCAUUCAGUUGGGCACUCUAGCGAGACUGCCGGUAAUAAACCGGAGGAAGGUGGGGAUGACGUCAAAUCAUCAUGCCCCUUAUGACCUGGGCUACACACGUGCUACAAUGGUUGGUACAACGAGUUGCGAGUCGGUGACGGCGAGCUAAUCUCUUAAAGCCAAUCUCAGUUCGGAUUGUAGGCUGCAACUCGCCUACAUGAAGUCGGAAUCGCUAGUAAUCGCGGAUCAGCACGCCGCGGUGAAUACGUUCCCGGGCCUU
rnacentral:rRNA from 1 species